rnacentral:rRNA from 1 species
CCUACGGGAGGCAGCAGUCGGGAAUAUUGCGCAAUGGAGGAGACUCUGAAGCAGUGAAGUAGCGUGCAGGAAGAAGGUCUUCGGAUUGUUAAAUGUCUUUGAUAGGGGAAUAAAAAGUUAGUAGUUGGAGAAUUAGUUCCUGCUAUAUACGUGACAGCAGCCGAGGUAAUAGGUAGGGAGCAAGCGUUAUCCGGAUUUAUUGGGUGUAAAGGGUGCGUAGAGGGAUAAUGAAGUCAGUUGUGAAAUCCCUCGGCUGAACUGAGGAACUGCAACUAAAACUACUACCCUUGAGUACAGUAGAGGAGAGUGGAAUUCCUAGUGUAGCGGUGAAAUGCGUAGAUAUUAGGAAGAACACCAGUUGCGAAGGCGACUUUCUGGACAGUAACUGACGUUGAGGCACGAAAGUGUGGGUAGCAAACAGGAUUAGAUACCCUGGUAGUC